CUACGGGAGGCAGCAGUGAGGAAUAUUGCGCAAUGGGGGCAACCCUGACGCAGCAACGCCGCGUGAGUGAGGAAGGUUUUCGGAUUGUAAAGCUCUGUCGAGCGGAAAGAAAUGCAUUAUGGCUAAUAUCCAUAGUGCUUGACGGUACCGCUAGAGGAAGCACCGGCUAACUCCGUGCCAGCAGCCGCGGUAAUACGGGGGGUGCAAGCGUUGUUCGGAAUUACUAGGCGUAAAGGGCAGGCAGGCGGAUCUAUAAGCUUUUCGUUUAAGGUGUCAGCUUAACUGGCGUACGGCGGGAGAUACUGUAGAUCUGGAAUGCGGUUGGGGAAGACAGAAUUCCUGGUGUAGCGGUGGAAUGCGCAGAGAUCAGGAGGAAUACCGAAGGCGAAGGCAGUCUUCCAAGCCGUCAUUGACGCUCAACUGCGAAGGUGUGGGUAUCAAACAGGAUUAGAUACCCUGGUAGUCCACACAGUAAACGAUGAUCACUGGGUGUCGGGUUCGAAGAGGAUUCGGUGCCGUAGCUAACGCGAUAAGUGAUUCGCCUGGGGAGUACGAUCGCAAGGUUGAAACUCAAAUGAAUUGACGG
rnacentral:rRNA from 1 species